rnacentral:rRNA from 1 species
UACAGAGGUCCCAAGCGUUGUUCGGAUUCAUUGGGCGUAAGGGUGCGUAGGUGGCGUCGUAAGUCGGGUGUGAAAUCUCGGGGCUUAACUCCGAAACUGCAUUCGAUACUGCGGUGCUUGAGGACUGGAGAGGAGACUGGAAUUUACGGUGUAGCAGUGAAAUGCGUAGAGAUCGUAAGGAAGACCAGUGGCGAAGGCGGGUCUCUGGACAGUUCCUGACACUGAGGCACUGAAGGCCAGGGGAGCAAACGGG